rnacentral:rRNA from 1 species
AGUGAACGCUGGCGGUAGGCCUAACACAUGCAAGUCGAACGGCAGCACAGUAAGAGCUUGCUCUUACGGGUGGCGAGUGGCGGACGGGUGAGGAAUACAUCGGAAUCUACUUUUUCGUGGGGGAUAACGUAGAGAAACUUACGCUAAUACCGCAUACGACCUACGGGUGAAAGCAGGAGAUCUUCGGACCUUGCGCGAUUGAAUGAGCCGAUGUCGGAUUAGCUAGUUGGCGGGGUAAAGGCCCACCAAGGCGACGAUCCGUAGCUGGUCUGAGAGGAUGAUCAGCCACACUGGAACUGAGACACGGUCCAGACUCCUACGGGAGGCAGCAGUGGGGAAUAUUGGACAAUGGGCGCAAGCCUGAUCCAGCCAUACCGCGUGAGUGAAGAAGGCCUUCGGGUUGUAAAGCCCUUUUGUUGGGAAAGAAAAGCAGCAGGUUAAUACCCCGAUGUUCUGACGGUACCCAAAGAAUAAGCACCGGCUAACUUCGUG